rnacentral:rRNA from 1 species
UACGUACGAGGCGAGCGUUAUCCGGAAUUACUGGGCGUAAAGCGCGCGCAGGCGGAGAGCUAAGUUGGGCGUGAAAUCUCCCGGCCUAACUGGGAGGGGUCGCCCAAGACUGGCUGUCUUGAGGAUGGCAGAGGUGAGUGGAAUUCCUGGUGUAGUGGUGAAAUGCGUAGAGAUCAGGAGGAACACCGGUGGCGAAGGCGGCUCACUGGGCCAUCACUGACGCUGAGGCGCGAAAGCUCGGGGAG